GUCGGGAUAGCUCAGUCGGUAGAGCAGAGGACUGAAAAUCCUCGUGUCA
rnacentral:tRNA from 2 species